AGUCGAACGGAGCUUAGAGAGCUUGCUUUUUAAGCUUAGUGGCGAACGGGUGAGUAACGCGUGAGUAACCUGCCCUAGAGUGGGGGACAACAGUUGGAAACGACUGCUAAUACCGCAUAAGCCCACGGUACCGCAUGGUACUGAGGGAAAAGGAUUUAUUCGCUUCAGGAUGGACUCGCGUCCAAUUAGCUAGUUGGUGAGGUAACGGCCCACCAAGGCGACGAUUGGUAGCCGGACUGAGAGGUUGAACGGCCACAUUGGGACUGAGACACGGCCCAGACUCCUACGGGAGGCAGCAGUGGGGGAUAUUGCACAAUGGGGGAAACCCUGAUGCAGCGACGCCGCGUGGAGGAAGAAGGUUUUCGGAUUGUAAACUCCUGUCGUUAGGGACGAUAAUGACGGUACCUAACAAGAAAGCACCGGCUAACUACGUGCCAGCAGCCGCGGUAAAACGUAGGGUGCAAGCGUUGUCCGGAAUUACUGGGUGUAAAGGGAGCGCAGGCGGACCGGCAAGUUGGAAGUGAAAACUAUGGGCUCAACCCAUAAAUUGCUUUCAAAACUGCUGGCCUUGAGUAGUGCAGAGGUAGGUGGAAUUCCCGGUGUAGCGGUGGAAUGCGUAGAUAUCGGGAGGAACACCAGUGGCGAAGGCGACCUACUGGGCACCAACUGACGCUGAGGCUCGAAAGCAUGGGUAGCAAACAGGAUUAGAUACCCUGGUAGUCCAUGCCGUAAACGAUGAUUACUAGGUGUUGGAGGAUUGACCCCUUCAGUGCCGCAGUUAA
rnacentral:rRNA from 1 species